CCUACGUGAGGCAGCAGUGGGGAAUAUUGCGCAAUGGGCGAAAGCCUGACGCAGCGACGCCGCGUGAGGGAUGAAGGUCUUCGGAUCGUAAACCUCUGUCAGCAGGGAAGAACGGUCACUGUGCUAAUCAGCAGUGAAUUGACGGUACCUGCAAAGGAAGCACCGGCUAACUCCGUGCCAGCAGCCGCGGUAAUACGGAGGGUGCGAGCGUUAAUCGGAAUUACUGGGCGUAAAGCGCUCGUAGGCGGUAUGUCAAGUCAAGGGUGAAAUCCCCGCGCUCAACGUGGGAACUGCCUUUGAAACUGGCAAACUGGAGUGUGUGAGAGGAUAGUGGAAUUCCUGGUGUAGGAGUGAAAUCCGUAGAUAUCUGGAGGAACAUCAGUGGCGAAGGCGACUAUCUGGCACAUAACUGACGCUGAGGAGCGAAAGCGUGGGUAGCAAACAGGAUUAGAUACCCCAGUAGUC
rnacentral:rRNA from 1 species